rnacentral:rRNA from 1 species
UACAGAGGUCUCAAGCGUUGUUCGGAUUCAUUGGGCGUAAAGGGUGCGUAGGCGGCGCGGUAAGUCGGGUGUGAAAUCUCGGGGCUUAACUCCGAAACUGCAUUCGAUACUGCCGUGCUUGAGGACUGGAGAGGAGACUGGAAUUUACGGUGUAGCGGUGAAAUGCGUAGAUAUCGUAAGGAAGACCAGUGGCGAAGGCGGGUCUCGUGGACAGUUCCUGACGCUGAGGCACGAAGGCCAGGGGAGCAAACGGGG